GCAUUCAAUAUUGCAUCAGCAUGUGACAUUAUAUAACUGAUAUGAAAAGUCUGGUAAUUAACAGUUAGUGAAUGAAAUUAGCAAGUGGGUUUUCCAUCAGAGGGGCCAUCUAAAGACGUUAUGAGACACUGAAAAGUUGGCGAAGCAAAUGGCCCUGCAAUGUAUAGAAUCAAAGAUAAUCUGGAAAUUUUCUUCGAGAUAUAUGACUGGUCUGAAAAGAGCUAUAUGUGGCCAAUCAUGUUCAGGUCCAGUUCUAUAUGAUCAUUCCUUAUGUGCUACAGACCCUAUCAACUGAUCAAAAGGGUCGUUAUCAUACGGUACAUCAUUCAAGGUCCCUGAUGUUUAUGGAGUUUUCUGAUUCAAAAUUGAGUGUCACAGACUUGGAUACAGUUGCUUAUCGCUCUCUAAACAGGUGAAUUUCUCAAUACUUUCGGCUGCACAAUAGAAUACAUGUCAUGCAUGAUUCUUUCAAUGUGAGGAAACCAUCAUCGAGUUUAUUUGUGUUCUUUUUUCACCGCGUGAAAAUGUGAUAUCCAUUCAUUUCUGCUUCAGUGUCACAGACUGGUAUUAAAAUAACUAUUCGCUGUCAUUUUC